AGGGAUGUAGCUCAGUCGGUAGAGUGCUUCCUCACAUGCAUUAGGCCCUAGGUUCAAUCCCUAGCACCACUA
rnacentral:tRNA from 1 species